AGGUAAAGCAAGAAAGGGCGUAUGGGGAAUGCCUAGGCACACUCCGGCGAAGAAGGACGCAGCAAACAGCGAAAUGCGACGGUGAGCGGUAAGCACGUGAAGAGCCGUCGAUAUCCGAAUGGGGGAACCCACACGGAGUCAUAUCCGUGUAUCACAUGUCGAAUACAUAGACAUGAUGAGGCGAGACGCAGGGAACUGAAACAUCUAAGUACCUGCAGGAAGAGAAAAUAAGAAUGAUUUUCUGAGUAGCGGCGAGCGAAAGGGAAAGAGCCCAAACCGAUCUGAGGAUCGGGGUAGUAGGAUCAUCGAUAAAUCAAACAGAGGAUCAUAGAGGAAUCACAUGGGAAGGUGAGCGAGAGAGGGUGAGAGCCCCGUACUCGAAAUGAGAGACUGGAGAGAGAUGACACCUGAGUAGGGCGGGACACGAGAAAUCCUGUCUGAAUCAGCCGGGACCAUCCGGCAAGGCUAAAUACGAGAGAGUGACCGAUAGUGAACCAGUACCGUGAGGGAAAGGUGAAAAGAACCCCGGGAGGGGAGUGAAAGAGAACCUGAAACCAUAUGCCUACAAGAAGUCAGAGCCGUUAAAGGGUGAUGGCGUGCCUUUUGUAGAAUGAACCGGCGAGUUACUGUAUGGAGCGAGGUUAAGCAGGAUAUGCGGAGCCGAAGCGAAAGCGAGUCUUAAGAGGGCGCGAGUUGCAUGCAGUAGACCCGAAACCGGGUGAUCUAGCCAUGACCAGGUUGAAGUUGGGGUAAAACCCGAUGGAGGACCGAACCGACCCCCGUUGAAACGUUGGCGGAUGAGUUGUGGCUAGGGGUGAAAUUCCAAUCGAACCCGGAGAUAGCUGGUUCUCCCCGAAAUAGCUUUAGGGCUAGCGUCGAGAGAAGAGUUGCGUGAAGGUAGAGCACUGAAUAUGUGAUGGCCCCAUCUCGGGGUACUGAGCAUAAUCAAACUGCGAAUGUCACGCCAACAUGCUCGGCAGUCAGACAGCGGGUGAUAAGGUCCGUUGUCAAGAGGGAAACAGCCCAGACCAUCAGCUAAGGUCCCAAAAUGUAUGCUAAGUGGAAAAGGAUGUGGAGAUGUACAGACAACUAGGAGGUUGGCUCAGAAGCAGCCAUCCUUUAAAGAGUGCGUAACAGCUCACUAGUCGAAUGACUCUGCGCCGAUAAUUUACCGGGGCUAAGCAUACUACCGAAGCUAUGGAUCCCAAGGGAUGGUAGGGGAGCGUUCCAUGAACGGAGAAGUACGACCGAAAGGACGUGUGGAGAUCAUGGAAGAGAGAAUGCCGGUGUGAGUAGCGGAACGUGGGUGAGAAUCCCACGCACCGAAAACCCAAGGUUUCCAGAGGAAGGUUCGUCCGCUCUGGGUAAGUCGGGACCUAAGGCGAGGCCGAAAGGCGUAGUCGAUGGACAACAGGUAGAGAUUCCUGUACCCGUAUAUAUGUGAAGGAAUGACGGAGAGAGGAAGCUGCAGCCAGCGGCUGGAAGAGCUGGUGCAAGCGAGAUAUCGGGAUGGCAGGCAAAUCCACCAUCCGAAACGAGAAGGCGUGAAGCGUACGGAAAGCUACGGCGAGUACGGAAGGCAGUGGAGGAACUUCCAAGAAAAGUUUCUAACGUUAAGUAUAUAUGGCCCGUACCGAAAAUGGACACACAUGGGUGAGGAGAGAAUCCUAAGGUGAGCGAGAGAACUAUAGCUAAGGAACUCUGCAAAAUGACUCCGUAACUUAGGGAGAAGGAGUGCUCAUAGAGAUAUGAGCCGCAGUGAAACGGCCCAAGCGACUGUUUACCAAAAACACAGCUCUCUGCUAAGCCGCAAGGCGAAGUAUAGGGGGUGACGCCUGCCCGGUGCUGGAAGGUUAAGGGGAGGGGUUAACGCAAGUGAAGCCCUGAACUGAAGCCCCAGUAAACGGCGGCCGUAACUAUAACGGUCCUAAGGUAGCGAAAUUCCUUGUCAGGUAAGUUCUGACCCGCACGAAAGGCGUAACGAUUUGGGCGCUGUCUCAGCUGUAGACUCGGUGAAGUCUUAGUACCUGUGAAGAUGCAGGUUACCCGCGACUAGACGGAAAGACCCCAUGGAGCUUCACUGCAGGUUGAUAUUGGGAUUUGAUGCAGCAUGUACAGGAUAGGUAGGAGGCAAAGAGAUGGAUACGCCAGUAUUCAAGGAGCCGCUGUUGGGAUACUACCCCUGUUGUAUUGGAUUUCUAACCGGACGACGUAGAGCCGUUGACGGGACAGUGUCAGUCGGGCAGUUUGACUGGGGCGGUCGCUCCCAAAGA
rnacentral:rRNA from 1 species